rnacentral:rRNA from 1 species
UACGUAGGGUGCGAGCGUUAAUCGGAAUUACUGGGCGUAAAGUGUGCGCAGGCGGCCGAGCAAGUCGAGUGUGAAAGCCCCGAGCUUAACUUGGGAACUGCGCUCGAAACUACUUGGCUGGAGUGUGGCAGAGGAAGGUGGAAUUCCACGUGUAGCGGUGAAAUACGUAGAGAUGUGGAGGAACACCGAUGGCGAAGGCAGCCUUCUGGGCCAACACUGACGCUCAUGCACGAAAGCGUGGGGAGCAAACAGG